GUGGCGGUCGGCUUACCUGCAAGUCGAGGGGUAACAGGGAGAGCUUGCUUUCCGCUGACGACCGGCGCACGGGUGCGUAACGCGUAUAGAAUCUGCCUUAUACAGAGGGAUAGCCCAGAGAAAUUUGGAUUAAUACCUCAUAGUACUAUUUUAUGGCAUCAUAUUAAUAGUUAAAGAUUUAUCGGUAUAAGAUGACUAUGCGUCCUAUUAGCUAGAUGGUAAGGUAACGGCUUACCAUGGCGACGAUAGGUAGGGGCCCUGAGAGGGGGAUCCCCCACACUGGUACUGAGACACGGACCAGACUCCUACGGGAGGCAGCAGUGAGGAAUAUUGGGCAAUGGAGGCAACUCUGACCCAGCCAUGCCGCGUGCAGGACGGCGGCCCUAUGGGUUGUAAACUGCUUUUAUACAGGAAGAAACACAGCUACGUGUAGUUGUUUGACGGUACUGUAAGAAUAAGCGCCCGGCUAACUCCGUGCCAGCAGCCGCGGUAAUACGGAGGGUGCAAGCGUUAUCCCGGAAUCAUUGGGUUUAAAGGGUCCGUAGGCGGUUCAAUAAGUCAGGGGGUGAAAUGGCUAUAGCUCACUAUAGCACUGCCAUUGAUACUGUUGAACUUGAGUUACAUUGAAGUAGAUGGAAUAUGUAGUGGUAGCGGUGAAAUGGCAUAGAUAUUUACAUAGAACACCGAUUGCGAAGGCAGUCUACUAAGUGUACACUGACGCUUGAUGGACCAAAGCCUGGGGGAGCCAACAGAUUAGAUACCCCGGGAAUCCACGCCGUAAACAAUGGGAACCUAGCUGGUGGGUAACAAUACUCUAGUGGGCUAAGCGAAAGGGAUAGGUUUCCACUCGGGGAGUCCUUCCCAAAUAGAACCUCAAGGAAUUGAGGGGGCCGCACAAAC
rnacentral:rRNA from 1 species